rnacentral:lncRNA from 1 species
GACAAAGCUAUCAAUAAGAUAAAGAAAAAAAUGAUAGAGAAAAAAAUUAAAAGUUAUAUUCCUUCAAAUCAGAUAGUUGUUUCUUCAGUAUUCCUUCAAAUCAAAUGCAUAGCUUGAUCAACUAUGGUCGCGGAGCUAAUUAAUGAAAAAGUGUAGUAAUAUAUGGUUGAAUCUAAACUUUAUUUCUCAUAGAAUUCUCUAAUUUUUUGGAUAUGUAAAGAAAAGAAAGGGGAAGAAAAAAAUGAUAGAUGAAAUCAUGCUUGAAGAUUGAUUCUUUUUUUUCUUUUUAUCUCUUUCUUUCUCUUCAUGGGUAAUAAUUUAUUUUUUCAUUGAUUUCUAAAAAUAGCAAGGCACUAGCAGAAAGUUCAAUAGUUAUGGAAUGAGACAUGUUGUAGUGGUGAAAUUGAGGGUGGCGAAAUGUUUGUUUAGGUGGUUUGUUCUUUGGCUGUGGAAUUGGGGUAAAGAGAUAUUUGUUUGGAUAAUUUGUCCAAUUGGUGGUAGAUGUAGUGGCUAUGGUGCUAAAAGUGGAGGAAAAGAGAAAGAAAGAAGGAGAUAGAAGGAAAAAUUAUUUUCUCGUCGGAGGUAGAAGGAAAAAUUAUUUUCUGGUGGCAAUGGUGAA